AGUGAACGCUGGCGGCGUGCCUAAUACAUGCAAGUCGAACGGAGUAGCGCACGGGUGAGUAAUAUAUAGCUAAUCUGCCCCUUGCUGGAGGACAACAGUUAGAAAUGAAUGCUAAUACUCCAUAGCAAGGGAUGAGACUAUAUCGUAUCAGCUAGUCGGUGGGGUAACGGCCUACCGAGGCUAUGACGCGUAACUGGUAGUAGAGGAUGAUCAGUCACAUUGGAACUGAGAUACGGUCCAAACUCCUACGGGAGGCAGCAGGAGGGAAUAAUUCACAAUGGGGGAAACCCUGACGAAGCAACGCCGCGUGGAGGAUGACACUUUUCGGAGCGUAAACUCCUUUUGUUAGGGAAGCGGUACCUAACGAAUAAGCAACGGCUAACUCCGUGCCAGCAGCCGCGGUAAUAC
rnacentral:rRNA from 1 species